rnacentral:rRNA from 1 species
CAUGCAAGUCGAACGCACAGCGAAAGGUGCUUGCACCUUUCAAGUGAGUGGCGAACGGGUGAGUAACACGUGGACAACCUGCCUCAAGGCUGGGGAUAACAUUUGGAAACAGAUGCUAAUACCGAAUAAAACUUAGUGUCGCAUGACAAAAAGUUAAAAGGCGCUUCGGCGUCACCUAGAGAUGGAUCCGCGGUGCAUUAGUUAGUUGGUGGGGUAAAGGCCUACCAAGACAAUGAUGCAUAGCCGAGUUGAGAGACUGAUCGGCCACAUUGGGACUGAGACACGGCCCAAACUCCUACGGGAGGCUGCAGUAGGGAAUCUUCCACAAUGGGCGAAAGCCUGAUGGAGCAACGCCGCGUGUGUGAUGAAGGCUUUCGGGUCGUAAAGCACUGUUGUAUGGGAAGAACAGCUAGAAUAGGAAAUGAUUUUAGUUUGACGGUACCAUACCAGAAAGGGACGGCUAAAUACGUGCCAGCAGCCGCGGUAAUACGUAUGUCCCGAGCGUUAUCCGGAUUUAUUGGGCGUAAAGCGAGCGCAGACGGUUUAUUAAGUCUGAUGUGAAAGCCCGGAGCUCAACUCCGGAAUGGCAUUGGAAACUGGUUAACUUGAGUGCAGUAGAGGUAAGUGGAACUCCAUGUGUAGCGGUGGAAUGCGUAGAUAUAUGGAAGAACACCAGUGGCGAAGGCGGCUUACUGGACUGCAACUGACGUUGAGGCUCGAAAGUGUGGGUAGCAAACAGGAUUAGAUACCCUGGUAGUCCACACCGUAAACGAUGAACACUAGGUGUUAGGAGGUUUCCGCCUCUUAGUGCCGAAGCUAACGCAUUAAGUGUUCCGCCUGGGGAGUACGACCGCAAGGUUGAAACUCAAAGGAAUUGACGGGGACCCGCACAAGCGGUGGAGCAUGUGGUUUAAUUCGAAGCAACGCGAAGAACCUUACCAGGUCUUGACAUCCUUUGAAUCUUUAGAGAUAGAAGUGUUCUCUUCGGAGACAAAGGACAGGUGGUGCAUGGUCGUCGUCAGCUCGUGUCGUGAGAUGUUGGGUUAAGUCCCGCACGAGCGCAACCCUUAUUGUUAGUUGCCAGCAUUCAGAUGGGCACUCUAGCGAGACUGCCGGUGACAAACCGGAGGAAGGCGGGGACGACGUCAGAUCAUCAUGCCCCUUAUGACCUGGGCUACACACGUGCUACAAUGGCGUAUACAACGAGUUGCCAACCCGCGAGGGUGAGCUAAUCUCUUAAAGUACGUC